GUAAAAGAUAGUAUAAAAGACCUUUCUUUUCGCAAUCAGCAUUCAACCGAUUCCAACCUUCCAGUAGAAGAGGUGUCACUAAGGAGUUGCAGGAACUUGCAGGAUGAGAUUGUGGAUGCUUACAUUGUGUGUGCUUCUCUCUGCCUGUUACGUUACACAGCAGCUGAAAUGUAACCACUGCAUAGACAUCAGAGAGAUGCCCGACUGCAGCCAACCUGAGGAGAUCGAAUGCAGCCCCCCUCACAGCUACUGCCUGAAUAUGACAAUGUACCCACCUGCCUAUGGCAUCGUGCGACGCUGUGCCACCUCGCGGGACUGCACGUAUAUAAAAAGCAGGCCUGUGCACCUGAUGGACGCAAACUGCUGUAAGACCGAUCUCUGCAACUGAGCUCGGCUGAGCCAAUUGGAGGAGAAGCUUCCUUGCUUGGACCUAGCGAAUCAGUAGCUCAUUGUGCAUUUAGCAGAACCAAUCACAGAUCUUGAGCUGAAAUAAAGAGGUAUUGCUGGCAGUCUUUGUUCUUAUUGAUAAUUAAUGAUCUUAAUUAAUCCUAAGAUACUGGUACAUAAUGGCCAUGAUAUUGCACUUAAUGAAUUGACUUUGAACUUGAGUAAUGACACCUUGAAAUUGAAAACCAUUGAAAUUAUAGCAACUAAAAAAUGAAGCUUAUUGCUUUGUAUUUCUUUUAGACUCAGGGGUGAAAUAUGUUUAUAGAAAUCUAUAGAAUAUCAGCAGAAUGUCUAUGUACUACCUAUUCCCAGCUGUUGUAUCAAACCCCACACUAUAAAGAACUGCAAAGUUCUGUCAUUUUUUGUCAUAGAUUGCUUGCAAUGAUUUACAAGGUUCACUGAUCAUUAAAAUGCACAAAACACUGA